rnacentral:rRNA from 1 species
GGACGAACGCUGGCGGCGUGCUUAACCCAUGCAAGUCGAACGGAAAGGCCCUGCUUUUGUGGGGUGCUCGAGUGGCGAACGGGUGAGUAACACGUGAGUAACCUGCCCUUGACUUUGGGAUAACUUCAGGAAACUGGGGCUAAUACCGGAUAGGAGCUCCUGCUGCAUGGUGGGGGUUGGAAAGUUUCGGCGGUUGGGGAUGGACUCGCGGCUUAUCAGCUUGUUGGUGGGGUAGUGGCUUACCAAGGCUUUGACGGGUAGCCGGCCUGAGAGGGUGACCGGCCACAUUGGGACUGAGAUACGGCCCAGACUCCUACGGGAGGCAGCAGUGGGGAAUAUUGCACAAUGGGCGGAAGCCUGAUGCAGCAACGCCGCGUGCGGGAUGACGGCCUUCGGGUUGUAAACCGCUUUCGCCUGUGACGAAGCGUGAGUGACGGUAAUGGGUAAAGAAGCACCGGCUAACUGCGUG